GGACAUUCUCCUAGGUGGACCAGCUAACUAGCCGUGGUAAAGGAUGUCGACAUCGGUUAUUCUACGUGAAUCAACGACUCUUCCGGAAGAGGAUUUUUUUCGCUGGCGGACUUCAAAAUACAACGCAACCGAAACCGAAUCAGGUACUACCUGAUACAUGUCAGUAAGGUCGAUAGUGUGAAUGUGCUGAAGGAAAAGGGAUGCAGGAGUGUCUAUUUUAGCGGACUUGAACAUCGGAACAUGAAUUUCUAUACGCUCCGCCUAGAACGCACGUAGGAAAAACAAGAACUUUUCAUCACGGAGCCAAACAAUACGACCAAACUGAUAUCGCUCCAGUGACGCGGACCUGUCCACAAGAAGACGUUUUUAAUUAUGUCCUCCAAGCGACCAGAGUAAUCCGUAAGCAUUCGAAGGCAACUGUAAAGGUUCUGCUAAAGCAGUUCACUAUCAGCAGGCACACAAAACUGAAAAAUAUCAUUAACGCCAACAUGCAUUGCCAUUUGGUAUCUGCUCCAGACUGUCCUUCAUGAGUCGAUGAUCGUUUUCUCACUGAUUUCACAAGAAGGUGCCGGAUCAUUUCUCGGAUGCGAACCUUUCUAUCCGAAAGCAACCGUUUCAGCAAGGAUAAAAGGCCAAGAAUGGAAACAUGGUGAAACAGAAAAAAAGACAAAUCCGGCAUGCGUUCAUUUGUUUUCCUCGUGGACCUCCGAGGGGAAUUUUAGUCUUGCUUGCUCGGUACCAGACGAGCCAUGGUCAGAACAAACCGACACUACCGCGUUCUUUCGGAAAUUCCGGACAGGUAGAACUGAUGGCAGUUGGGACUUCCGCCGGAACCGCACCAUUUCCUUUCAAAAGCUUGCGGAAGCUGAUGGGAAAUGUUCGCGAUUAUGGUCCGAGUCCCGCACAAUGCUUUGAUGGUGAAUCGGUUACAACCGGAUUAGGUUUUUGUGGACGAACGAGGAGUUGGUGCUGUUUUUUUCAUUGAAAUAAAGACCCAGCAAGCGCCUGAGAAUGCCAUUGCAAAGGGCAAGGUGUGCGAGACUACCGUGGUUCAAAGUUCGGCCGGCUUUGAAGGCAACGGUCACAUCGUAGCCUGCAAACAUCUACAAUGCCAACACAAAUCAGCGGAGACUGCACCAUACUUCCUCCCCCCCCCCACGGGCUAGUGCUGUGCUGCACUCGCAACGUCCGUCUGAAGCUGAGUGUGCUGUCGCUAAGGCAGCUGAAUUUGCUACCACCUGUGUUCACGCUGCCCCGAAAAGACGGGCUGAAGAUAAUCUGGAAGCAAUUCAUAAUACGAACAAUAAAGAAGUGAAAUAAAUGUAAAUAAAGAAAAUAGAUUCAAAUGCCUGCAUUGUAUUUAAUUUCAUUUAAAUUAAUUCGCUAAUUUUCAACAUUGUACGAUUCUACGCACCGGCGAGAAAUCUUAGAAAAACUUUCCGUUGAGUAAAG